rnacentral:rRNA from 1 species
UACGGGGGGGGCAAGCGUUGUUCGGAAUUACUGGGCGUAAAGGGUUCGUAGGUGGCUUGCUAAGUCAGACGUGAAAUCCCUCAGCUUAACUGGGGAACUGCGUCUGAUACUGGAUGGCUUGGAUUUGGGAGAGGGAUGCGGAAUUCCAGGUGUAGCGGUGAAAUGCGUAGAUAUCUGGAGGAACACCGGUGGCGAAGGCGGCAUCCUGGACCAACAUUGACGCUGAGGAGCGAAAGCCAGGGGAGCAAACGGG